rnacentral:lncRNA from 1 species
UGAAGACGUAGAGGAGUUAGCUGAGGAAGGUCUGUUCCCAUCCACAGAGUCUUCAUCAUCAAAAUUUUUAUCACUUGAGCUCUGGAUCAUGUUUCCAGAUUUUUGGACCUCGUCAAACUUUGUGAAAAUUACAUUCAAUCGAGAUUGGGGUAGUCCUUUUUUACUGAGAUCAGCCCUUACACGUUCACCAACAUGUCUGUAAAUUUCCACAAGGCUGUUUAUUGCUGCAUCUCGAACCUGGCUGUUUGGAUCUCCAAGUAAGUUACAUAUAUGUGGCACUAUCUUACUCAGUGUUAAACUCUGAGCUCCAGAUGCAUUGAGUGUUGCAAUAAGGCAGAGGCAGAUCCCUUCUCUUGUCCGGAAAUUCUUGUGUUUGAAUCCUCCUAACAUCCUAUCCCACACGUACUGAGGAUUAGCAGCCUGUUCCAUGAUUUUCAGCAGCAAGGUCUGAUCCUGCUCCCGCACAGAGUCCUUGGAG